ensembl:lncRNA
GGAGGCUUAGGAUGGCUUCUGAGUGACAGGCACAUCAUAAAGAGUCCCUGCCCAGAGCUUGUGGCCUCAGUCAAGCGUCCUUAUUGCCACUAAUAUGAAUGAGUGUGGGUCUGUGCUGUGCUUCUGGGCAGGCCUUCCUCUUUGCAAGAUCCCGGAGAUGGGAAUUUGAAAGAUGGUUGAUAGAUCUAUGUUAAAAUGGCAAAGCCGAGUGCAAGAAGCAGCUGGAGCUAGUGGGAUGCACACAGUUUCAGAGUCAGGAGAUUCUAGUACUGGCUCUCUCUGCUUGACACUUGCUGAGUGACCUUGGAUGAGAAAGCUGAGGCUUACAAGAGGAUUGGACUGGCAAAAGGUCAGCCCAUAGAGUUCCCAGGGAAGAAUGAACCCAGAUUCUUGACCUGCAGAGGUGGUGUACUGCCUGGAGAAGUCACUGGCUGGCAACCGUGCUAUUCUGUCUGUCCACCUAACUGUGGGCUCCCAGAUCACCACUGCUAUGGGUUAUCGCAAUCGACUCCAGGCUGGAACGGGCAUUGCUCUUGCACUGAAGAAAGUCUGUCCUGACUCCCUCAGAGUGCCUCAACGUCAACUGAGAGCCACCGUGAACCUCUGGGGCACUGAGCCUGGCCACCAGCAUCUGCACCCCAGCCCAUAUGGCCUGGGCCUCUCCCUUGAAGGUGUGUUCAGCAGCAGAAAGAAGCAUCAUAAAAUGCUAAAUCCACAAGUGACAUCUAUCAAAAAUCUACUGAACGCACAAGUACUUUGCAAGAGCUUUUAUAUAGAUAGAGAUGACCUCUCUCAUGGACAGGUGGACAUGGGCCGAGGCAGAGAUGGCACUUAGAAAGGACCUUGUAGACCUGGAUGACCGGUCCUUUACAAAAGGGCUCCGGCAUCAAAGGGCAGCCGGCGGUGGAGACGGCCCUCAGAACAAGGACAUCAGUGAGUGGAUCAGCGGCUGCAGCUGAGGGGAGCAGACUCAGUCCUAGUCCGCUGAAGGAGGGACAUGAAGACAAGGGAGAGGCAGCUGGCAGACCUAGCAGGGGACACUCUAAAGUCCCAUGAAAGUACACAUGACCAAAAAAGGGCAGCUCUUAACUCCUGCCAGGCCCAGAGAUCUCAAAGCCAUCUAAUGAGAAUGCCUAUUAAGUAAGAACCUUCCUACAUCCCUUUCUAACCCCUGUCUCUGACCCUGUGCCCCAACUAUGAAGGGGUCAGAUGUCAGGAUAAGCAAGCUGGAGGAAGGGAUGGAAAAGAGAGGGAGAUUGUGAGAAACAGAGCAAGUGAGCUCCAGGCACUCCCAAUGUGUGAAGACAUGCCUCCUGCCCACAGCAGCCAGCUCAGAAGAUCGGAAACAUCCAUGGAUAGAUCCUAAUCUCUAUGUUGAGUCAUUGUCUAAGAGAUGUCAGAAAAGUUACAAGAUUGCCAAAAGUUUCAUCCGGGUGCAAGGGAAUGGCUACUACUUUCCCCAAACAGAUUUAUAGAAAUCAGGAGAAACAAAACACCCACACUUGCCUUCAGGAUUACCAUUCAUGAGACCCUUCCUUCUUGUUCAAUUGACCAGUGAUUUUAGGGAAUGCUGCCAAUAAAAUUGUAUUGUG